UAUUACAAUGAAGAGUUUGAUCCUGGCUCAGGAUGAACGCUAGCUACAGGCUUAACACAUGCAAGUCGAGGGGCAGCAUGGUCUUAGCUUGCUAAGGCCGAUGGCGACCGGCGCACGGGUGAGUAACACGUAUCCAACCUGCCGUCUACUCUUGGACAGCCUUCUGAAAGGAAGAUUAAUACAAGAUGGCAUCAUGAGUCCACAUGUUCACAUGAUUAAAGGUAUUCCGGUAGACGAUGGGGAUGCGUUCCAUUAGAUAGUAGGCGGGGUAACGGCCCACCUAGUCUUCGAUGGAUAGGGGUUCUGAGAGGAAGGUCCCCCACAUUGGAACUGAGACACGGUCCAAACUCCUACGGGAGGCAGCAGUGAGGAAUAUUGGUCAAUGGGCGAGAGCCUGAACCAGCCAAGUAGCGUGAAGGAUGACUGCCCUAUGGGUUGUAAACUUCUUUUAUAAAGGAAUAAAGUCGGGUAUGCAUACCCGUUUGCAUGUACUUUAUGAAUAAGGAUCGGCUAACUCCGUGCCAGCAGCCGCGGUAAUACGGAGGAUCCGAGCGUUAUCCGGAUUUAUUGGGUUUAAAGGGAGCGUAGAUGGAUGUUUAAGUCAGUUGUGAAAGUUUGCGGCUCAACCGUAAAAUUGCAGUUGAUACUGGAUAUCUUGAGUGCAGUUGAGGCAGGCGGAAUUCGUGGUGUAGCGGUGAAAUGCUUAGAUAUCACGAAGAACUCCGAUUGCGAAGGCAGCCUGCUAAGCUGCAACUGACAUUGAGGCUCGAAAGUGUGGGUAUCAAACAGGAUUAGAUACCCUGGUAGUCCACACGGUAAACGAUGAAUACUCGCUGUUUGCGAUAUACAGCAAGCGGCCAAGCGAAAGCGUUAAGUAUUCCACCUGGGGAGUACGCCGGCAACGGUGAAACUCAAAGGAAUUGACGGGGGCCCGCACAAGCGGAGGAACAUGUGGUUUAAUUCGAUGAUACGCGAGGAACCUUACCCGGGCUUAAAUUGCAGAUGAAUUACGGUGAAAGCCGUAAGCCGCAAGGCAUCUGUGAAGGUGCUGCAUGGUUGUCGUCAGCUCGUGCCGUGAGGUGUCGGCUUAAGUGCCAUAACGAGCGCAACCCUUGUUGUCAGUUACUAACAGGUUCCGCUGAGGACUCUGACAAGACUGCCAUCGUAAGAUGUGAGGAAGGUGGGGAUGACGUCAAAUCAGCACGGCCCUUACGUCCGGGGCUACACACGUGUUACAAUGGGGGGNNNNNNNNNNACGGCCCUUACGUCCGGGGCUACACACGUGUUACAAUGGGGGGUACAGAGGGCCGCUACCACGCGAGUGGAUGCCAAUCCCAAAAACCUCUCUCAGUUCGGACUGGAGUCUGCAACCCGACUCCACGAAGCUGGAUUCGCUAGUAAUCGCGCAUCAGCCACGGCGCGGUGAAUACGUUCCCGGGCCUUGUACACACCGCCCGUCAAGCCAUGGGAGCCGGGGGUACCUGAAGUGCGUAACCGCGAGGAGCGCCCUAGGGUAAAACUGGUGACUGGGGCUAAGUCGUAACAAGGUAGCCGUACCGGAAGGUGCGGCUGGAACACCUCCUUUCU
rnacentral:rRNA from 1 species